rnacentral:rRNA from 1 species
GAGUUUGAUCCUGGCUCAGGACGAACGCUGGCGGCGUGCUUAACACAUGCAAGUCGAACGGAGUUUAAGAGGAAGCUUGCGAAUCUUAAACUUAGUGGCGGACGGGUGAGUAACGCGUGGAUAACCUACCUGAAUGACUGGGACAACACCGGGAAACUGGUGCUAAUACCGGAUACGCUCAUCAUUGCGCAAGCGAAGGUGAGGAAAGGAGAAAUCCGCAUACAGAUGGGUCCGCGUCCCAUUAGCUAGUUGGCGGUGUAAGAGACCACCAAGGCGACGAUGGGUAGCCGGCCUGAGAGGGUGGACGGCCACACUGGAACUGAGACACGGUCCAGACUCCUACGGGAGGCAGCAGUGGGGAAUCUUCCGCAAUGGGCGAAAGCCUGACGGAGCAACGCCGCGUGAGUGAGGAAGGCCUUCGGGUCGUAAAACUCUGUCUUCAGGGAAGAAAAAAAUGACGGUACCUGAGGAGGAAGCCCCGGCUAACUACGUGCCAGCAGCCGCGGUAAAACGUAGGGGGCGAGCGUUGUCCGGAAUUACUGGGCGUAAAGGGCGCGUAGGCGGUUAUUUAAGUCAGAGGUGAAAACUACCGGCUCAACCGGUAGCCUGCCUUUGAAACUGGAUGACUUGAGGGCAGGAGAGGGGAGUGGAAUUCCCAGUGUAGCGGUGAAAUGCGUAGAUAUUGGGAGGAACACCAGUGGCGAAGGCGGCUCUCUGGCCUGUUUCUGACGCUGAGGCGCGAAAGCGUGGGGAGCAAACGGGAUUAGAUACCCCGGUAGUCCACGCCGUAAACGAUGGGUGCUAGGUGUAGGAGGUAUCGACCCCUUCUGUGCCGUAGUUAACACAAUAAGCACCCCGUCUGGGGAGUACGGCCG